CCUGCCUCUAGAGUUGCAGGUGUAGCUGCUGUGUCACAUCUGUGUCAGUGGGUGGCAGAGAGAAAAAAGGCUACAUCUGAGCUCAGUGUUCUGACUUAUGAACAUCUGAAGGAUUAGUAGCCUAACAUU